UACGUAGGGUGCAAGCGUUGUCCGGAAUUAUUGGGCGUAAAGAGCUCGUAGGCGGUUUGUUGCGUCGGCUGUGAAAACCCGGGGCUCAACCCCGGGCCUGCAGCCGAUACGGGCAGACUAGAGUUCGGCAGGGGAGACUGGAAUUCCUGGUGUAGCGGUGAAAUGCGCAGAUAUCAGGAGGAACACCGGUGGCGAAGGCGGGUCUCUGGGCCGAUACUGACGCUGAGGAGCGAAAGCGUGGGGAGCAAACCGG
rnacentral:rRNA from 1 species